UUCGUAGGCGGUGUGGCAAGUUGGGAGUGAAAUCUCUGGGCUUAACCCAGAGGCUGCUUCCAAAACUGCUGUGCUUGAGUGUGGGAGAGGCGCGUGGAAUUGCAGGUGUAGCGGUGAAAUGCGUAGAUAUCUGCAGGAACACCCGUGGCGAAAGCGGCGCGCUGGACCACUACUGACGCUGAGGACGAAAGCUAGGGGAGCAAACAGGAUUAGAUACCCUGGUAGUCCUAGCCCUAACGAUCGGGACUUGGGUGCCGCACGUUCGUGCGUCGUCCGAGCUACGCGUUAAGUCCCGCGCCUGGGAGUACGGUCGCAAGACUGAA
rnacentral:rRNA from 1 species